rnacentral:rRNA from 1 species
UACAGAGGGGGCAAGCGUUAUUCGGAAUUAUUGGGCGUAAAGGGCGCGUAGGCGGCCUGACAAGUGGAAGGUGAAAUCCCUCGGCUUAACCGAGGAACUGCCCUCCAAACUGUUUGGCUUGAGACCGGGAGAGGUGAGUGGAAUUCCCAGUGUAGCGGUGAAAAUGCGUAGAUAUUGGGAGGAACACCAGUGGCGAAGGCGGCUCACUGGACCGGUACUGACGCUGAGGCGCGGAAAAGCGUGGGGGAGCAAACGGGG